rnacentral:lncRNA from 10 species
GUUUUCUUACUGAACUACAUGUUGGUCCCUCAGGUAAAGAUUUCUUGAGUCUCAGGUCUUUGGGGUCUUUGAGGAGUGUGACUUCUCAGAUUGGAUGACACUGAUCUAACUGGCUGUAGUAUCCAUUCAAGCAUGAGGGAGGUCAGAUCCUGGGAAAGCUCAGGUCCAAACAGCUCUUGAAAGAGGACGUUGCAGGGCAGGCAGGCUGCUUUGCACAAAGGGACCUGUAGACACUGAGAACAUCAGUAUACCAGGAACCAGCCCACCCUUUCACUCUGCCAGACACGAGGCUGUGGGCUACCCAUCUUUCCCUGUCUCCUGAACUCAUAGCAAAAACAAAAAACUUCACUUGUUUGUUAACACAUAUAGUUCAAGACGGAAAGGCUUACACUGAGGCAGAAAGGGUUGAGGUUUAUCAGCAUCUUCGCUUUGAGGCCUCAUAAUGUACUUCCCAUGGACUAAAGUUGUUCACUUUCUUUAGAGGAUAUUAGCUAAAGAUGUGGUAAAACCACGUUUUUGCAGAAAAGUGAAUAUUCAAAAACAAAUGUAUAUGGUGAUUAUUUAAUAGUUUUCACUCCACUUCGCAACUCAACUUUUGGUUGAUGCAAGAGGGAUGCGAAGGGAGAAUUGUGCUUAUAAUUCCAGCAUUGUGGUGGAAUAAAAGAGCACAGCAUUGCAGCUGUUGAAUAUAGUUUUUUUCUUUUUAUAGGCAGUUUUAAGAAGAAUGCAUUGAUUCUACAACAUGCUAUUGUGAAGCCAUCCGGGACUGUUCACUCACUGAUUUAAGAAAGGUGUAUUUUCCACUUGAGGUGUGAGAGAAAGUGUGGUGUUCACUCAUUGCUCUUCCUUCUGGCUUUUAUUUUUCUUACUUUUAGAGAAAAUAAGAGAAGUAUCCCUGAAGGAUGAAAUAUCCUCAAAUAUGAAAAGGUCUGCUCUCUGAAGACCAACUGUCUCAGUCUGCUUUUUGCUGCUGUAACAGAAUACCACAGACUUGGCAGAGAAGCCUUCAGAGAAGGAUCCUGACUCGGUGGUUUGUGCAGUGACAUUUGGCAGUGUUUGCUCGGCAAGAGAGCCUUUGAGGCUGCCCUCAUGCUGCUCAGUGGGCACACCAAGAACAAGAGCUGGCCAGGGAUGACGGACGCAUCUAGGCCUUCUCGGCCUAAGGGCAAGUCCCAUUCUUCCUUGAUAGGUCUUUAGAUGUACCAGUCAGCAAAUGUCAUCCCCCUCUGCAUUCACGUCAUGCUGUGCAGGGAAUGCUAAACAGAGGUAGAUCUAAACUUAGGAGUUAGGCUUCUUCUCCAUGGAGAUGUGGAUCUGCACAGACAAAGUGUCCAAGUGGGAUUUUCCUGCUAUUUCAAAGACUGCUGCUGCACCCUGCUGGCUCUUCCUGCACUCCCUGCCUCCAGGAAUGACUGUGUCUCUUUGAAUUAGUGAAGUCAUCAACUUUUAUUUUAAUCUCUUUUUAUUAUUAUUAUUAUUAUACUUUAAGUUUUAGGGUACAUGUGCACAUUGUGCAAGUUAGUUACAUAUGUAUACAUGUGCCAUGCAGGUGCGCUGCACCCACUAACUCAUCAUCUAGCAUUAGGUAUAUCUCCCAGUGCUGUCCCUCCCCCCUCCGCCCACCCCACAACAGUCCCCAGAGUGUGAUGUUCCCCUUCCUGUGUCCACGUGUUCUCAUUGUUCAAUUCCCACCUAUGAGUGAGAAUAUGUGGU